rnacentral:tmRNA from 1 species
UCCCUUGCCCCCAUCCCCGACACUUCCUAUAUUCGGGUCGUUCGGGUUCGCCCGGACUAUGGCGAUAAACGCACCUGUAAUAAGCGGAUCGGACCCGGGGGCGGUACCCGGCGGCUCCACCAACACUCCCUCGUUGGGGGCGGAGGGGGCCGAAACAGGAUCGACGAACGUCUAAAGAGGCCAGCUUUCGCUCGGUGAGGUACCACCGUUAUCGGUCCGAAAAGUACAGUUGCCAACGACAACCGUGCUCCGGUCGCUCUGGCUGCGUAAGCAGCUCGGGUAACCGAAACCUCAAGUCCUUGGGCUUUGCCGCUCAAGGCGGGGCCCGCAGGAGCCUGGCAACAGAAUCCUGCAUU